rnacentral:rRNA from 1 species
ACGACUCUCGGCAACGGAUAUCUCGGCUCUCGCAUCGAUGAAGAACGUAGCGAAAUGCGAUACCUGGUGUGAAUUGCAGAAUCCCGUGAACCAUCGAGUCUUUGAACGCAAGUUGCGCCCGAGGCCACUUGGUCGAGGGCAUGCCUGCCUGGGCAUCACGC